rnacentral:piRNA from 1 species
AUGCUUCUACCUUCUACAGUAGCUAAUAAAC